UACGUAGGGGGCAAGCGUUGUCCGGAAUUAUUGGGCGUAAAGAGCGUGUAGGCGGCCAGAUAAGUCCGCUGUGAAAUCUCGAGGCUCAACUUCGAGCUGUCGGUGGAAACUAUCUGGCUAGAGUCCGGAAGAGGAGAAUGGAAUUCCUGGUGUAGCGGUGAAAUGCGCAGAUAUCUGGAGGAACACCGGUGGCGAAGGCGGCAUCCUGGACCGACACUGACGCUGAGGAGCGAAAGCCAGGGGAGCAAACGGG
rnacentral:rRNA from 1 species